rnacentral:rRNA from 1 species
AGAGUUUGAUCCUGGCUCAGAUUGAACGCUGGCGGCAGGCCUAACACAUGCAAGUCGAACGGUAACAGGAAGCAGCUUGCUGCUUCGCUGACGAGUGGCGGACGGGUGAGUAAUGUCUGGGAAGCUGCCUGAUGGAGGGGGAUAACUACUGGAAACGGUAGCUAAUACCGCAUAAUGUCGCAAGACCAAAGAGGGGGACCUUCGGGCCUCUUGCCAUCGGAUGUGCCCAGAUGGGAUUAGCUUGUUGGUGGGGUAACGGCUCACCAAGGCGACGAUCCCUAGCUGGUCUGAGAGGAUGACCAGCCACACUGGAACUGAGACACGGUCCAGACUCCUACGGGAGGCAGCAGUGGGGAAUAUUGCACAAUGGGCGCAAGCCUGAUGCAGCCAUGCCGCGUGUAUGAAGAAGGCCUUCGGGUUGUAAAGUACUUUCAGCGGGGAGGAAGGGAGUAAAGUUAAUACCUUUGCUCAUUGACGUUACCCGCAGAAGAAGCACCGGCUAACUCCGUGCCAGCAGCCGCGGUAAUACGGAGGGUGCAAGCGUUAAUCGGAAUUACUGGGCGUAAAGCGCACGCAGGCGGUUUGUUAAGUCAGAUGUGAAAUCCCCGGGCUCAACCUGGGAACUGCAUCUGAUACUGGCAAGCUUGAGUCUCGUAGAGGGGGGUAGAAUUCCAGGUGUAGCGGUGAAAUGCGUAGA